rnacentral:rRNA from 1 species
GAUGAACGCUGGCGGCGUGCUUAACACAUGCAAGUCGAACGGAAAGGCCCAGCCUUUCUGGGGUGCUCGAGUGGCGAACGGGUGAGUAACACGUGGGUAACCUGCCCUUCACUUCGGGAUAAGCUUAGGAAACUGGGGCUAAUACCGGAUAGGACCUCCUGCUGCAUGGUGGGGUUGGGAGUUUUUCGGUGUGGGAUGAGCUCGCGGCCUAUCAGCUGGUUGGUGGGGUGAUGGCCUACUAAGGCGUCGACGGCGGGCCGGCCUGCGAGGGGGUACGGGCACAUUGGGAGUGAGAUACGGCGCAGACUCCUACGGGAGGCAGCAGUGGGGAAUAUUGCACAAUGGGCGCAAGCCUGAUGCAGAGACGCGGCGUGGGGGAUGAAGGCCUUCGGGUUGUAAACUCCGUUCGCGAGGGAGGAGGCGUGUUUGUGACGGUACCUGGAGAAGAAGCACCGGCUAACUACGUG